GGUUGUGGCUCAGUGGUACAGUGUUUGCCUAGCAUGUGUGAGGCACUGGGUUUGAUUCUCAGCACCA
rnacentral:tRNA from 1 species